GACGAACGCUGGCGGCGUGCUUAACACAUGCAAGUCGAACGGAAAGGCCCUGCUUUUGUGGGUGUUCGGGUGGCGAACGGGUGAGUAACACGUGAGUCAUCUGCCUUUGAUUUUGGGAUAACUACAGGAGAAUGGGGCUAAUACUGGAUAGGAGUUCCUGCUGCCGGUUGGGGGUUGGAAAGUUUCGGCCGUUGGGGCUGGACUCGAGGAGUAUCUGCUUGUUAGUGGGGGAGUGGCGUACCAAGGCAUAGACGGGCAGCCGGCCUGGAGGGGUGGCCGGGCACAAGAGGCCGGAGGUACGGACCAGGCUGCGACUGAAGGCAGUGGUCGGGAAUCUUACACAAUGGGGCAGAGCCUGAUGCAGAAGCGCCGCGUGCGGAAUGACAGCCUUCGGGUUGUAAACCGCUUUCGCCUUUGACGAAGCGUGAUUGACGGUAAUGGGUAAAGAAGCACCGGCUAACUACGUG
rnacentral:rRNA from 1 species